rnacentral:rRNA from 1 species
UAGAGUUUGAUCCUGGCUCAGCUUGAACGCUGGCGGCAUGCCUUACACAUGCAAGUCGGACGGCAGCGCGGGCUUCGGCCUGGCGGCGAGUGGCGAACGGGUGAGUANNNNNUCGGAACAUGUCCUGUAGUGGGGGAUAGCCCGGCGAAAGCCGGAUUAAUACCGCAUACGAUCUACGGAUGAAAGCGGGGGACCUUCGGGCCUCGCGCUAUAGGGUUGGCCGAUGGCUGAUUAGCUAGUUGGUGGGGUAAAGGCCUACCAAGGCGACGAUCAGUAGCUGGUCUGAGAGGACGACCAGCCACACUGGGACUGAGACACGGCCCAGACUCCUACGGGAGGCAGCAGUGGGGAAUUUUGGACAAUGGGCGAAAGCCUGAUCCAGCAAUGCCGCGUGUGUGAAGAAGGCCUUCGGGUUGUAAAGCACUUUUGUCCGGAAAGAAAUCCUUGGCUCUAAUACAGUCGGGGGAUGACGGUACCGGAAGAAUAAGCACCGGCUAACUACGUGCCAGCAGCCGCGGUAAUACGUAGGGUGCAAGCGUUAAUCGGAAUUACUGGGCGUAAAGCGUGCGCAGGCGGUUUGCUAAGACCGAUGUGAAAUCCCCGGGCUCAACCUGGGAACUGCAUUGGUGACUGGCAGGCUAGAGUAUGGCAGAGGGGGGUGGAAUUCCACGUGUAGCAGUGAAAUGCGUAGAGAUGUGGAGGAAUACCGAUGGCGAAGGCAGCCCCCUGGGCCAAUGCUGACGCUCAUGCACGAAAGC